rnacentral:rRNA from 1 species
GAAACCGGAGCUAAUACCGGAUAAUAUAUUGAACCGCAUGGUUCAAUAGUGAAAGACGGUUUUGCUGUCACUUAUAGGUGGAUCCGCGCCGCAUUAGCUAGUUGGUAAGGUAACGGCUUACCAAGGCAACGAUGCGUAGCCGACCUGAGAUGGUGAUCGGCCACACUGGAACUGAGACACGGUCCAG